rnacentral:sRNA from 1 species
AGCCGGCAGAUUUUUGGUGUCAUCUUGGAACAGUGCGUCACCAUAGUGCUGGAUUUUGGCGGCAUUCUGGAGGGGGAGCUUGAUCUGUGCCGAGAGGCUCUAACAAUGGUUCUCCAGGAGCAGGUGGCUCACAUAACCAAGUUCAAUAUCAUACGGGUUUCUCAAGAGCCUGUGAAGUGGCAGGAAAAUGCUACUCCUGUGACCGAACAGUCCAUAGCUACUGCCAUCAGUUGGGUUGAGAAACUGACGGUUGAGCUGACUGUGAGCGAGGCUGGCCGCCUGGAUGCUCUGCUGGAAGCCGGGAGAGACAAGACUUUACUCUUCUUCACAGAUGGAUCUGUCAUCUGUCACACACUUUCCAAGGUGAAGUACGCGCAAGCUGAUGACUCCAUCCAUUUUUGGAUGUCAAUGUAUUGACAUGAAUUUUGAUAGGGACAUUUUUGGAAAUAAAGCUUUACCUGGAAGAAGUGA